rnacentral:sRNA from 1 species
UUAAUUAUGACAGUGUUGUACAACCAUCACCUGUUUUGUUCCAAAACAUUUUCACCACCUUGCUGAGGUGACUCCGCACCUGUCAGGUCUCCCCCCAGCCUCUUGUCUCUGCCCUCCCUCCCUGCAGGUACAGCCGCUGGCAGCCUCUAAUCUGCUUUCUGCCUCUGUGGAUUUGCCAGUUCUGGACAUUUCCUAUCGAUGGAAUCACACUGUAUGCAACCGUGGGGUCUGGUCUUGGACCCCACGUCGUUUUCGAGGUUCAUCCGUGCUGUGGCGUGUCAGAGCUGCUUUCCUCGUUAUGGCUGAAUCGUCCUCCGCUGUGUGGACCGAGUGCAUUGUGCUUAUCCAUUCUCAGCGGGGUGACAUUUGGGUGGCUUCCAUCUUUCGGCUGCUGCAGAUAGUGCUGCUGUGAACUUUGUCGCUUAACGGUCUAUCUCAAUGUUUUCGACGGCACAUCGUGUCUCAUGGCGUCCCACUGCCUGGACAGUGCCUUGCUGGUGGGUGUUAGCUCACUGCCAGAUUCUCACUCCCACACGUGGCUGCCAUGGCCGGCCAUGGACGAGCUUCUCCAUGGUGCCCCUUCCCAAGUGUCCCUUAAAACCUAGGUCCCUAGAUCCUGAAUUGCUGGGUGUCUCUGAUGGCUUACAGCCCCCCCAGCUUUUAACAGUGUCUGUUAAGAAUACUUGGCCUUCUCUUAGUUUUCCAAAGCACUCUUGUACUUUCUCUUAGCGGUGACCUGUGAAGCAGGGAGGCCUGGUCUUUCCACGUCAGGAUAAAAUGACAGCCGACACUUAGAGACACUUAGACACUCUGGCCCUGGGCCCCUCUGUUGUGAGCACUUCACAUUGAUGAAGCAUGCACAGGCCUUUUGAGAGCACCGAGGCCUGAGGGGAAAGCAACUAAAAGGCGAAGCCGGGAUCGGAGUCAGGCGCCAGGCUCCUGCCUCGGUCUCACAGCUCCUACAGCUGCCGCCCAGGAAGGUGAUGAGGCUGCUGGGCUUCCACAUAGACCCAGCCGCCCCUCUCUUCGCAUGUUCGCCUCUCGCCCACCUCUCCGGGAGCCAAGGCAGCCCCAGCACGGAGUAAAUGGCAUGUCAGAGCGGGAGCGACAGGUGAUGAAGAAGCUGAAGGAGGUGGUGGACAAACAACGCGAUGAGAUCCGCGCCAAGGACAGGGAGCUGGGCCUGAAAAAUGAGGACGUUGAGGCUUUACAGCAGCAGCAGACACGGCUGAUGAAGAUCAACCAUGACCUUCGGCACCGGGUCACGGUGGUGGAGGCCCAGGGGAAAGCCCUGAUCGAACAGAAGGUGGAGCUGGAGGCAGACCUGCAGACCAAGGAGCAGGAGAUGGGCAGCCUGCGAGCAGAGCUGGGGAAGUUGCGAGAGAGGCUGCAGGGGGAGCACAGCCAGAAUGGGGAGGAGGAGCCUGAGACGGAGCCGGUUGGAGAGGAGAGCAUCUCCGACGCAGAGAAGGUGGCCAUGGAUCUCAAGGACCCCAACCGCCCCCGGUUCACCCUGCAGGAGCUGCGGGACGUGCUGCACGAGAGGAACGAGCUCAAGUCCAAGGUGUUCUUGCUGCAGGAGGAGCUGGCUUACUAUAAGAGGUUUCCACACGAGACCACAAGCAACAUGAGACCAGAAGUCUUAUUUAUCUUGUCCAUGGCUAAGUUCCCAGCACUUAGAAUGGAGCUUGGCACACAUGAAGAAAUGGAAGAGGAAAAUCGAAUACCCCAACCCCCACCCAUCGCCCACCCGAGAACGUCCCCCCAGCCGGAGUCGGGCAUCAAGCGACUGUUUAGCUUCUUCUCCCGAGAUAAGAAGCGCGUGGCCAACACGCAGAGAAACGUGCACAUCCAGGAGUCCUUUGGACAGUGGGCAAACACCCACCGCGAUGACGGUUACACAGAGCAAGGACAAGAAGCCCUGCAGCACCUGUGACCUUGGCCCACCUCCACCCUCCAACCUGGACUGCCCGCCACCAGCGUCUGCAACCGAACUGCAGCCCAGGGGUCGUUGCUGCCUCAAGCCUCUCGGUGCAGACACACCCUGAAAACUGACCCCUCAAACAGACUGUCUGAUUUGAGGAUGGACAUUGAAAAACUGACGCCAAACUCUAAAGAAAUGUUUAUUUAUACCCAGGGCUAUCACUGUUUCUAAUAGAUGACUCUGAUCCCGUAGGAUAUAUAUUUAAUAAUCCCACGAACGGAGGCCAGACUUCUGCGUUAACUUCAGUAACACAAGCUUCUUUAAGCCAAAUACAUCACUUGCCACUAUCAUUGCUGUUUGACUUGCUUUGUAUAAAAUGCUAUGUGUAGAGGUUUUAUUAUCACAGGUGACAUAGUUCAGCAGGAGGCAUGGAAGGGCUAGAUCUUCAUUAGUUACAUUCAUGAAAUUGUGAUGGUAACGUA